AUUGAACGCUGGCGGCAUGCCUUACACAUGCAAGUCGAACGGUAACAGGUUAAGCUGACGAGUGGCGAACGGGUGAGUAAUACAUCGGAACGUGCCCAGUAGUGGGGGAUAGCCCGGCGAAAGCCGGAUUAAUACCGCAUACGACCUAAGGGCGAAAGGGGGGGAUCGCAAGACCUCUCGCUAUUGGAGCGGCCGAUGUCAGAUUAGCUAGUUGGUGGGGUAAAAGCUCACCAAGGCGACGAUCUGUAGCUGGUCUGAGAGGACGACCAGCCACACUGGGACUGAGACACGGCCCAGACUCCUACGGGAGGCAGCAGUGGGGAAUUUUGGACAAUGGGCGCAAGCCUGAUCCAGCCAUGCCGCGUGCGGGAAGAAGGCCUUCGGGUUGUAAGCCGCUUUUGUCAGGGAAGAAAUCCUUUGGGUUAAUACCUCGGGGGGAUGACGGUACCUGAAGAAUAAGCACCGGCUAACUACGUG
rnacentral:rRNA from 1 species